rnacentral:rRNA from 1 species
GAUGAACGCUGGCGGCGUGCCUAAUACAUGCAAGUCGAGCGAACAGAUGAGGAGCUUGCUCCUCUGACGUUAGCGGCGGACGGGUGAGUAACACGUGGAUAACUUACCUAUAAGACUGGGAUAACUUCGGGAAACCGGAGCUAAUACCGGAUAAUAUAUUGAACCGCAUGGUUCAAUAGUGAAAGACGGUUUUGCUGUCACUUAUAGAUGGAUCCGCGCCGCAUUAGCUAGUUGGUAAGGUAACGGCUUACCAAGGCAACGAUGCGUAGCCGACCUGAGAGGGUGAUCGGCCACACUGGAACUGAGACACGGUCCAGACUCCUACGGGAGGCAGCAGUAGGGAAUCUUCCGCAAUGGGCGAAAGCCUGACGGAGCAACGCCGCGUGAGUGAUGAAGGUCUUCGGAUCGUAAAACUCUGUUAUUAGGGAAGAACAAAUGUGUAAGUAACUAUGCACGUCUUGACGGUACCUAAUCAGAAAGCCACGGCUAACUACGUG